rnacentral:rRNA from 1 species
AAUAAUGGGCAAAGGACGAAAGUAGGAACCAGCAAUGACGNGUGAANGAUGAAGGUAUUUGGAUUUUAAAACUCUGUGUUCAGGGACGAACAAGAUGACGGUACCUGAGGAGGAAGCCCAGGCUAACUACGUGCCAGCAGCCGCGGUAAUACGUAGGGGGCGAGCGUUGUCCGGAAUUUCUGGGCGUAAAGGGCGAGUAGGCGGUUUUACAAGUUAGAUGUGAAAUACCAGGGCUUAACCCNGGAAACGCAUUUGAAACUGUAAGACUUGAGUGCAGGAGAGGAAAGUGGAAUACCCAGUGUAGCGGUGAAAUGCGUAGAUAUUGGGGGGAACACCAGUGGCGAAGGCGACUUUCUGGACUGUAACUGACGNUGAGGCGCGAAAGCGUGGGGAGCAAACNNGAUUAGAUACCCUGGUAGUNCACGCCNUCNACCAUUNUGGUAGGGUA